AAGUCGUAACAAGGUCUCCGUUGGUGAACCAGCGGAGGGAUCAUUACAGAGUUGCAAAACUCCCAACCAUUGUGAACUUACCUCACCGUUGCUUCGGCGUCAGCCUGUUUCUUACUAUUUAAGCAAAUCGAAAGGUUUGUUUAGACACUGUAUUUUUGCUGAAGGCAAACUCUUGCUUAGUGCUCUCCUUUCAUUGAGUGCUAUUGCAAGAACUAUUUUACCUAUUUCACCCCCUUUUUGCUAGUUGACUUUAAUAUGUUGUUCUUUACGCUUGCGUAAGGUUCACACGUUUAAUUAAUUGAACGUUAAAAAUACAACUCUUAGCAAUGGAUAUCUUGGUUCUC
rnacentral:misc_RNA from 1 species